UUUCGUGAAAGAAUGCUGGAAUGUGCGGCACAACUGAUGCAUCUAAUGGAGCUAACUCCAAGAAAGGACACCAUGCACAUAGUCGUGCAUGUGCAAGACCAUAAAAAUGAAAAUGAGGAAGCAGUUCAGGUGGGUGUGCUUCCCCUUCUGUGUACCCACUUCAAAGACGACGAGAAGUGCCUUUUUCAAGUCUUUGAGGAGGGCACCAGUCUUGUGGGGGAGCUUGGUCAGCUACCUUCAACUCCUACCAUCGUCGUACUAGGCAGCAUCUUCAAAAAAAGACUGCUAUGUAGCAGCAGAACAGCAGCUCCUUUUUUCAGAAGGAUUAGAUUUUGUGGAGGCGACGUGCCUGCUGUUUUUGACAUACUAUGUAUUAAAUAUGUCCUAUGCUGAAGGA
rnacentral:lncRNA from 1 species